GGGCGUCUACUUGUAGAGCCUGACCUCCACUUCUAACACUGUGCACUUGAUGGCGAGGUAAUGGAACUUUCGAGUGAAACUACCUUGCGGCUUCAUUUUAAACAUUAGUCAAAGUAUGUAAUGAAAUAAAAAACAAAAAAAAACUUUCAACAACGGAUCUCUUGGCUCUCGCAUCGAUGAAGAACGCAGCGAAAUGUGAUAAGAAAGGUGAAUUGCAGAAUUCAGUGAAUCAGCGAAUCUUUGAACGCACCUUGCGCUCCCUGGAAUUCCGGGGAGCAUGCCUGUUUGAGUGUCAUGAACUCUUCAACCCACCAGUUUCUAGUAGACUGCGUUGGUGUUUGGAUUUUGAGCGUUGCUAGUCUGACUACCUCGUUCGUAAUAUAUUAGCAUCUCUAAUUCGAAUUCGGAUUGACUCAGUGUAAUAGACUAUUCGCUGAGGACACUUUUAUUAGAGGCCGUACUAAAACCAGAACAAGCUUCCAACUAUUGUAGUCAACUUUAAUUUAGACCUCAG
rnacentral:misc_RNA from 1 species